CCGCCGUACUAAGUGUGUAGUGUAAAAUUACUCGAGACCAGUCAUGACACGUUACUGAAAAAGGGUGUGAAUAAACGGUUUAAUAGAUUAACACUAUUCCCCCCCUAAUUGAUCAAACUCGAGAGAUAAUACGAAAAAUAUUGUUGAGUAUUAAAAAUACAAAAAAUAAGUGGUAAGUUUAAGGAGAGAAAAUAAAUGGAAAGAAUCAUGACGUAAAGGAGACAAAUAAAGACAGAAGGUGGCAAGAUUUUUUUUGAAUUUUUCGAUGAUAUUUGUCGGAUAAAUGUGCUCAGUAGAUAUCAGUGGCAGAUAGUGAAAGGAGGCCUGCGGGCUAUUGUGGAAGAUAAGAAGAAAACGACAAUAGGAGGGACAAAAAGGAUGCGGGGGCACCAGAAAGGGGCAAGUAUGCCCGAUCAUCGUUUCGUUUUAUUAUAGGGGAGGCGAAUUCUACAAAAUAAUCAUCCCUGCAUCGUUGGACAUCCAACGCAAGUAUUGAGAAGCUUCAGCGCUACCAGCACUGCCCCCGUUCACCAAGAUGGCGGACGGGAAAGAAGACCAGACGUUUCUACAGAAACUAUUAUUCUAUACAACCGCGUUCUUCAUUCUCCUUGGCACCUUCAGCCUCUUCGCCUUUCUCUUCUUGGUUCCUUUCGUCAUCGACCCUGCAUUCACCACUAUUUUCAUGGAUUUCGAAACACAACCGGCUGAAUGUAUCACCAUUGAUGUAGAAUCGAGGAGAGGUGCUAGCAACUGUUCGUGGACAUCAUGUAGAGAGGGUUGUACAAAGGAACUUUAUGAUUGUACGCAAAUACGCGUGAAUUAUAAAUUACCGGUGAAUGGAACUGACGGGAAGGGCAGGGCGGGAGGAGGUGUCGAGGAUGACGAGGCCGAGGCUAAAUUGAGAUACGAACGAUCUCCAAGAGAUUACAAUAAUUACAUUGAAGAUUUUGAUGACGAUUUCGAUGAAGACGUCGAUCUCAAACUGCCAAAAUCUUUUCCUACAGGUCUCAUGGGUAACAAUUCCGAGUGGUAUUUCACUGGAGCUAAAUUGUUUCCUAACGUAAAAGGCUGUGGAUACCCUCCAAUGUUGAAUUGCAGUAUUUUCUACCGGCAAUAUGCCAACAUAGGACAGAAUUUUAGCUGUUACUAUUCCAAAGUUGAUCCUAGUAUUGUCAUCAGCGAUCUUGAUAUGUGGCAGGUUUAUAUGAAUUUGGUAUAUGCAAUGGCGAUACCAAUACCAUCUUUUAUAAUUUCGGUAAUAUAUCUUACUAUUGCCUACUUCAAAAUUUACAACGAAGACGAAGAAAAAUUGGUAAAUAAAAAUGAUGGCGAGGAUGAGGAAGUCGAAGGUCUUCAUAGCAACGCAACACCAAUUCCACCCACAAGUGGUGCCAUUACACCCGGAAGUGAAGCCUUCAGAGAGGACCUUGCGAGUUUUGGUCAUCAACUCAAAGUUGCUAUGGCAGAUGAGGUCAGCAGAGAGAGCCUUGAUGGAAUACCGAAUUCAAUUUCAGUUCAGGGAAACUUGAACAAGAUGAUGACGACGAGUAUCUUAACUCCACCUGGGCCGACAGCAGCAGUUUGAAGCGACACUUUCAAGGUUUGAACAAUAUCUCAUGGAAGCCCCACUAGAGAUCAUCAUCUCUAAGUCAAAUUAUAGAAGAUGAGGUUUGCAUUCAAGGGUUCCUCAGUCCUCUGUUGAUGAAACAAGUUUUCGAUACUUCAGCACGUCACUGCACGCCAUCGAGUGAACCAGAGGCUAUUGAGAAGUCAAUUACGGGUAAAUGAUAACAACAUAUUGGAUAAUUUUUCAACGAAUAAAUGUCAGGAGAAUGCAAAUUCAAUAGGUUUUAGCAAUCAAAUUUCAAUGAAAAUCAAUGAUAAUAAAUUACUCUGGUUCGCUCGUGAAUAAUAAUUAAAAAAAAUAUUUUAUAAAGAAAAAAAUUGGAAAUUUAAUUUAUAUCAUGUAUUAAAAAAUUACAUUGUUUAUUGAUACAAAGAUAAAGGCUUGAAAAAUGGUAUAGGUAAAUAAUGAAAAUGUUAAAAAUAUACUUAAAUAAUUCGCUUGCUGUGUGACCAUGCGUAUUCACCGUUAUAUCGUUGUAAUUUAUACGAUAGAAUAUCAAUUUACUUAUUCACUCCACGCCAAUGAAAUUAUGUAAAAAGACUAAAAAUAAGCUUUACAAAUAUUUAAAGCUAAUGUAAUCGGUUAAUCAAGUGCGAAUUGUUCAAACUUUAUCAGUCCACAAUUUAAUUGAAAUAAUCUAAGAAAACAAAACAAAUACUAAUUGACUUUAUCUCCCAGCCGUCCAAUUGUCAGGCUGUCAUUGAUUUGUACUUAAUCAAAGAGUACUUGCAUGAGGACGAAAUGUCAGAAAUACCAUGGGUAAUGCUUUUUUCUCUCAAGUUAUACCUGGUAAGAGCAUUGCUUGUGCUUCUCGCUUAAUUAUGACAAGUAAAAAUUAGAUCCAUCAAAACAUAAGUUUUUUUUAUUAACUAGUGAAACAAAUAAUUAAUAUAAAUAUCUGAUUAAAUAUUGCCAACAUCAAUCAUAAAUUUAAUGUCAUGAUAACAAUUAUUUUUAAUCCAGCAGUGCUCAAUUACUUGACUUAUUAGUUUUUUAUUUUAUUACAUUGGCGAAUAAUGUUGAAAAUAAUUGUAAAAUUGCCUGGACAUGCGCACAUGACAAUGGUACACUGAUGUACAAGUGAGACAUGUGUUAUCAUAGUUACGAAAAAGAAAAAAAAAACAAAACCAUUUGAAUAAUGAUAAUAAUAUUAAUAAGAUAAAUAAUAAUAAACAACUAAAUUGUUUUUAUGAAUUAAGAACAAGUUGUCUGUGAUCUACAAUAAUUGACAUAAAUAUGUAAAAAGUAUCGACAAGUAAUAAAAGUAUAAAUUAUUAAUACGUUAAUAAACGUAUGUACGUUAAAAAAAAAACAGUUCAAAGCUAUUGAUUGGAUAAAUGAUUUAUAAACUAAAUUUCUUCAAAGUAAUGCAAACAAAUAUUGUGUAAAAUAACAUAUUGAAAAUAUGAAUUGAAAACAGUUGACAUUUGUUUGAUCAUAAAACUUGUCACUGCUGUUAUAGAUUUUCCCACAAUUGCAAGAAGGGAAAAACGAAAUAAGUAAAGUAUUAAAACAAUUAUUACCGAAUAUAAAUCAUAAAUAUGGCACCUCCUUAUCACCUUUAUAAAUAAUAUAGAUCUAGAUAGAUUAAUAGAAGCUCAAAACACCAAAAUUCAUUCCUUCCACCCGCUCCGGCCGUAUAUUUGAUUGUCUUUAUUACAUGGCGUUGCAUCUAAAGUUGAAGCAAAAGUACUAAUAUCUGUUAACAAAUUGAGUAUAUUCUUGAAUCUAAAUACCACUACAACUAAAUAAACCAUAAUAAAAUGUUUGGAAAAAUGUACAUGAUAAUUUUAUAUUAUGUAGCACAUUCUACACAUUAUAACAUGUUGAAUUUAUUUUAUUUGUUAUUUAUUAUCGACAUCAUUGUCAGCUGCGAUUAAUUUUAUGUACAAAUGUAUAAUGCAUUUUUGCGACUAACAAUAAACAAAU
rnacentral:misc_RNA from 1 species